AUUGAACGCUGGCGGCAGGCCUAACACAUGCAAGUCGAACGGUAACAGGGAUCAGCUUGCUGAUUCGCUGACGAGUGGCGGACGGGUGAGUAAUGUCUGGGAAACUGCCUGAUGGAGGGGGAUAACUACUGGAAACGGUAGCUAAUACCGCAUAACGUCGCAAGACCAAAGAGGGGGACCUUCGGGCCUCUUGCCAUCGGAUUUGCCCAGAUGGGAUUAGCUAGUAGGUGGGGUAACGGCUCACCUAGGCGACGAUCCCUAGCUGGUCUGAGAGGAUGACCAGCCACACUGGAACUGAGACACGGUCCAGACUCCUACGGGAGGCAGCAGUGGGGAAUAUUGCACAAUGGGCGCAAGCCUGAUGCAGCCAUGCCGCGUAUGAAGAAGGCCUUCGGGUUGUAAAGUACUUUCAGCGGGGAGGAAGGGAGUAAAGUUAAUACCUUUGCUCAUUGACGUUACCCGCAGAAGAAGCACCGGCUAACUCCGUG
rnacentral:rRNA from 1 species